GUGUCAGCCGCCGCGGUAAUACGGAGGGGGUUAGCGUUGUUCGGAAUUACUGGGCGUAAAGCGCGCGUAGGCGGAUCAGAAAGUUGGGGGUGAAAUCCCGGGGCUCAACCCCGGAACUGCCCUCAAAACUCCUGGUCUUGAGGUCGAGAGAGGUGAGUGGAAUUCCGAGUGUAGAGGUGAAAUUCGUAGAUAUUCGGAGGAACACCAGUGGCGAAGGCGGCUCACUGGCUCGAUACUGACGCUGAGGUGCGAAAGCGUGGGGAGCAAACAGGAUUAGAAACCCCGGUAGUCC
rnacentral:rRNA from 1 species